rnacentral:rRNA from 1 species
UGAGUAACCUGCCCUUAACUCUGGGAUAAGCCUGGGAAACUGGGUCUAAUACCGGAUAUGACUCCUCAUCGCAUGGUGGGGGGUGGAAAGCUUUAUUGUGGUUUUGGAUGGACUCGCGGCCUAUCAGCUUGUUGGUGAGGUAAUAGCUCACCAAGGCGACGACGGGUAGCCGGCCUGAGAGGGUGACCGGCCACACCGGGACUGAGACACGGCCCAGACUCCUACGGGAGGCAG